rnacentral:rRNA from 1 species
AUUGAACGCUGGCGGCAGGCCUAACACAUGCAAGUCGAACGAGUGGCGGACGGGUGAGUAAUGUCUGGGAAACUGCCCGAUGGAGGGGGAUAACUACUCGAAACGGUAGCUCUUACCGCGUACCCUAUGAGGUGCCCAGAUGGGAUUAGCUCGUAGGUGGGGUAACGGCUCACCCAGGCGCCGAUCCCUAGCUGGGGUGAGAGGAUGACCAGCCACACUGGAACUGAGAAACGGUCCAGACUCCUACGGGAGGCAGCAGGGGGGAAUAUUGCACAAUGGGCGCAAGCCGUAUGCAGCCAUGCCGCGUGUAUGAAGAAGGCCUUCGGGUUGUAAAGUACUUUCAGCGGGGAGGCGUUACCCGCAGAAGAAGCACCGGCUAACUCCGGGACAGCAGCCGCGGUAAUUC